CGGUCUGUCGCGUCGGAUGUGAAAGCCCGGGGCUUAACCCCGGGUCUGCAUUCGAUACGGGCAGACUAGAGUGUGGUAGGGGAGAUCGGAAUUCCUGGUGUAGCGGUGAAAUGCGCAGAUAUCAGGAGGAACACCGGUGGCGAAGGCGGAUCUCUGGGCCAUUACUGACGCUGAGGAGCGAAAGCGUGGGGAGCGAACAGGAUUAGAUACCCUGGUAGUCCACGCCGUAAACGGUGGGAACUAGGUGUUGGCGACAUUCCACGUCGUCGGUGCCGCAUCUAACGCAUUAUGUUCCCCGCCUGGGGAGUA
rnacentral:rRNA from 1 species